AUGCUCCACUCGCGGCGCGACGCCUUCAAGUUGCGGUCCAUGUGCCCGGGAUGGCGCGCCGCGCUGCCGUUCACCAAGUACUUGGCGCCGAUGCUGAUGAUGCUGCCCUUCUGCCCCAACUCACCGGACAUCGCCGUCACCUUCUUCACAGCGGCAGACGGCGGGGAGACGACCUUGACGAGGAACCUUCCGCGAGGCAAGACACUGUGCGACUCAUUGCGUGGGUGGCUGGCGCUGGUCGACGAGGCCGGGUGCGUGACACUGCUCAACCCGCUGACCGGCGCCACGGUCGAGCUCCCGCCUGCCGACGAGCGCGUCCUGGCGGCCUCCUGUAGGCAUUACACGUUUCCGGACGGCAACUGGGUCAUCCUUCCUGCCUGCCGCGGCCAACACGAGUGGGUCAGGCUAGAAGAGAUGAAGAAGAGUGAGAUCUUCCGCGAGAUUGUGCUCUCCUCGUCCUCGCCCGGCUCCGGAGACUGCGUGGCGAUGGCGGCGCUAGCGGAGUCGAGCACCGUCGCGUUCUGCCGCGUGGGCGUCGAUGUUGCAUGGACGUUGCUCGACACCAACGGGCCAAAAAGCUGCGUCACGUCCGUGGUUCACUUCGGCGGCAGCAGGUUCCUGGCGAUCUUCAACGGGCAUAACGGCAGGUUUGUCUCCCCGGAAGUGGCGGUAGUGGGAGCGAUCUCUAUCUGCGACGUUGCCGGCGCAGCUCCCACGGCGACGUGGAUUCGAUCUUUGCAUGCAGCUCCCAAAAAGAAAUCGGAUUGGGCCUGCAAGUAUAUGCAAGUGAAUGGCGAGCUGUACCUCGUCGCCUCCAAAGUGCCGGGCUGCACCAACCUCUGCCGGGUCUACAAGAGCAAUAUCUUCGCUAAGAGGCCGAAGUGGAUCAGGGUGAAGAACUUCCCCGGAGUGACACUGUUAGUGUCGACUAAUUUCACCAAGGGCGACAGUGAAGGAGCAGCAAGCGUCUCCGGGUUCAAGGAGAACUCGAUCUACUGCAUGGACUAUAACGUGUACCGUAAUCAGUUAGAGUUAAAGAUCAUUGACAUCACCAAUGGGACGUGCGAGUUCCAGCCUUUCCACGGAAAGAUUCAGGAUUCAGCUGGGACUCUUUGCUGGAUUCAACACAAUCAUUGGAAAUAA
rnacentral:rRNA from 1 species